AGCGUAAAUAUCUCACUCUUACCUGAAUUCAUCUGCGAAUAGUGAGAAAUAGAAUCCGUGCUGGUGAAAAUGUUCAUAGACGUAGGAAUGUCCUCUUCAGGGUAAAGGCUGUCAGGAAUCGUAUUUAUUAAACUGCUCAUGAUACACCAAACGUGUUCUCCGAUGGACAGUACAAUGAAUCGCGAUCUGGAAGAGUAAUGGUGAUCAAAGGAAGAAAAAAUCCAGGUGGUGUUGUAUCCAACAGAAGUUCUUAAAAGGGGUGUGACUUGCCCGGAAACGGGACAGGCAGUUCCGGACCCAGGAUGCCGGAGCCUGUGCUGUUAGGCUCCCUGUCUGGGUUCAUCACGCCCUCUACUGAGCGGAGGACGCACUGGACAGAGGCUGUACGCUGCUGCUCAGGGACCACACAAAGAAUGAGGGUUUCUUUGUGGGCUUCUCUAUAGGAGGUCCCCUGUGGUCACCUCAGUAACACAGGCUAGCAGGACAGUCCAUGCGGACAAGGCCUGAGACAUAGAAAGUGGUUUGCGAUGCAGGGGUUCCCCCAAACCUGUCACCCCAGGGACAGUAGACUUCCCAGACGGUGGACUCUGUCCCCCUUAGUGUCCUCACAGUGAUGCACAGAGGGGCUGCAGUGAAUGUGGGCCCCUGUGUUUGCCGUUGAUGACAGGGAAUGAGACUUCAAUAAGACUAAAGAUUCCACUAGAAGAGAUUGGUAAUGUUUUAAUUAAGGAAAACACACACGGCCGGUAUUAAAGUCAAACAACAAGCCACAGUGACCCAAGGGGAGCUUGUCACGUGGCGAGACAUGAAAAUGAAACCUGGUGGUGUUGACUAAAAAAAGAGAACCAACCAGGAAGAGUGCCUUCGACAAGCAAACAGAACAUUUUCCAUUCCUUUGCAUACCUGUGCACACCAAUAUGUUGUCUGUGCUCUCAGUACCUGCUCUGAAGCCUCAUUUACAGUUAUACCUUUAAUGAUAAUGACUGAUCAAACUCAUUCAUGUUUACAAAGAAAAAACAUGUAACAUAAUUCAAUCAUUUUACAUGGCAGUUAGUCACACUUCAAAGCUAGUACACACUGUUAACCAGUGCAGCCUUAAUUCUAAAAGAGGUGAUGUCAUUGUGUUUAAUUAAUGAAUCAUAACAAAUACACGGGGAAUUACCAUUGUAGACUGGAAGCAUGUGGAAAAAUCUGCAUAAAUGCUGUACAGCUCAACAAUCCAGUGCAAAAUUCAGCCGUUGUCAAAGGUGUGAUAAGCAUGUCACAAUCAAUACGAACAAUAAAAACAACCUGAGAAGUGAAGCAUAUUUAUUAAAAGUUAAUAAAGGGAUGCAUAUUUCAAAGCC